AAUAAUGAGGACCGAUAAUUCCACAACAAAUAUUCUGUGGUAUGAAUGUAUAGUUCGUCUUUGUGCUAAAAUCCCAGCGGCAGGUGAAUGAAGUUAUUGUGUUGUGUGAAUCUGAGGUGAAUUAGUGUGAAAUUGGCAUCAUGUGAUCGGCUCCUGAUUGCUCAGAUCAAUGAUGCAGCUUUACCAUGUUUAGCUAAUGCUUAUUUUAUUACACAAGCCAAAAUGAAACACAUUUAUUAUGAGAUGGGAGCAGCUGGUGUGUGUGUGUGUGUGUGUGUGCCAGGUCCUUGCUGCAGGCGGCUCAGGCUGGCCAGGGUACCGCAGGAGAGCAGAUGGACAGCCAAAGCUUGUAGUCACACUUACCUUCGCUGCUAAAACCCUAAUCCCACAACGCAGUCUCCUCCAAGGCGGUCUCACCGCGGAGAGGGGCCGCAAUCUGGACGGGAGGAUUCGCUGCCAACCUCUCACUACACAGACAUGCAAAUGGACCCGUCGCAGCAGCUGACCGCCAGCCAGAACGCCACUUCCUCAGAGUAAUUAAGACACCUAGAAAAAAGAAAAAGAGGAAGAUCACAACUUUGAGACGGAUGAGGAAGGGAAGGUGUGCGAGCGAGGGGCCUUUCGUCUCGUUUCGGCUCCGUCGGUAGCAUAAACCGGGGUCUUAAUUGGCCAAGUAUCCUGACGAGCAUCGCAUUUACAGCAGAGCAGCGAAUCAGAGUGGCGGCGGAAAUCUGCCCCACGUCAGUCGGCUGGGAGAUUUGGCCCUCGCUGCGGCGAACAGACCCGCUUAUUGGAGCAGGGUUGGUGGGUAAAUAGAGGACAGAUGUUAAUGUGGUGGCUUAGAUACAGUACAGGGAUAAAUGGACAGAGAUAAACACGAGUUCACCUCUGAGCAGUAAAAGAGCUCCGUCAGAGUGAUUCUGCUUACUGACAAAUACAGAAAUGUGCUGCUGGAGCUGAUGUUGGGAUGUUCAGCUCGUCUCUUGUUAAUGUUCAUCAGAAUCUGACGCUUUCA
ensembl:lncRNA